rnacentral:rRNA from 1 species
GAUGAACGCUGGCGGCGUGCCUAAUACAUGCAAGUCGAGCGAACGGAUGAGAAGCUUGCUUCUCUGAUGUUAGCGGCGGACGGGUGAGUAACACGUGGAUAACCUACCUAUAAGACUGGGAUAACUUCGGGAAACCGGAGCUAAUACCGGAUAAUAUUUUGAACCGCAUGGUUCAAAAGUGAAAGACGGUCUUGCUGUCACUUAUAGAUGGAUCCGCGCUGCAUUAGCUAGUUGGUAAGGUAACGGCUUACCAAGGCAACGAUGCAUAGCCGACCUGAGAGGGUGAUCGGCCACACUGGAACUGAGACACGGUCCAGACUCCUACGGGAGGCAGCAGUAGGGAAUCUUCCGCAAUGGGCGAAAGCCUGACGGAGCAACGCCGCGUGAGUGAUGAAGGUCUUCGGAUCGUAAAACUCUGUUAUUAGGGAAGAACAUAUAUGUAAGUAACUGUGCACAUCUUGACGGUACCUAAUCAGAAAGCCACGGCUAACUACGUG